GUAAAUGGCUGCAUAAAUCUGAGUGUACGAAGGUAGCAUGAUAAUUUGUCCUUUAAAUGGGGGCCUGUAUGAAUGGGUUUACGUGAUAGUUGCUGUGUCACAAAAACUUAAUUGAAAUUAACUUUUAGGUGAAGAGGCCUAGUUGAGUAUAAAGGACGACAAGACCCUAGAAGCUUUACUAAGGAUAAUUUACAAGGUAAUUCAUUCCAGUUUUGUUGGGGCAACAUAGUUAGAAAAUAUAACUCUUUUUUAUAUUAACUUACAAGUUAAAGCCACAGCAGUGAGUAAGAUAAGCUACUCUAGGGAUAACAGCGUAAUUUCUUUUAAUAGUACUUAUUGUAAAAGUAGUUUGCGACCUCGAUGUUGGAUUAAGGUAUCCUUAAGGUGUACAAUUCUUAAAGGGUUGGUCUGUUCGUCCAUUAAAACCUUACA
rnacentral:rRNA from 1 species